CGCGCCGCAGGGCGGAUGGGGACGCUGCCGCGGCCGGCCGAUGAAGGCUGGCAUCGGGGUUGGGUCCCGGCCCGCUCCUGCCGCUGCGGUCCUGUCCUGGGUGUCGUCGCGUGGUGUGAUGGCCGCGCUGCGGAACAAACGCCAGACGUGUCGAGCUCCAGCCGCGGGGGCAUCCUCAGCGCUGCCCGCCAGGCCACAGGCGGACAAGCUCGCACGCUCCGCGCAUCCUCGGGCACGCCGCCGCUGCGAAUGCCGGCUCCGGGGCCCCGCAUGCCGCCGCCGCUCCUCCUCCUCCUCCUCGCGGCGGCAUGCAGCUGCGGCCCCGCUGGCGGUACGGGGGGAGGCGGCUCCUGCGAGCUCUCCGUCGCGCGCGGCGGCGAGCUCUACAGCUUCGCUCUCGCGGCGCCGACGCCGGCGCACCACCGCGGCGUCCUCAGCGAGGACGGGUUUUACAAGGUGGCUGUGAAUGAUUCCAUACUCUGGUUCCAGCUGUGCGAUGAAAUGCUAUUCAACUUUGACCCACCUAUGUGUCUUAAUUGUGAGGGCUGUGGCGGUCCAUUGAGGUGCGGAACCCAGUGUAGUGCACUUGUGUCGAAUAAUAUUGGAGGGUAUGAUGUUUGCACAACCCUCGGGAGUUCAUCUAAAUCCCAUUUAUCUCUAAUUGACGAGAGUAAUCCUCAAAAGGGUGUUGUUGUUAAGAUGUUCUCAUCAAAGUGUUCUAUUUCUAUUUCUGUCCUUUGCGACUCAAUUGUAGCCCAAGUACCGGGCAAAUUCGUCAUAUCUGGUGAUUGUGAUUAUGCUACAACAAUUAAGCACCCUUCUGGUUGUUCAAGAUCUGUUUCUGCUUCUGGAAGUGGCUGGGGAUGGUUAGGCACUUUGUUCAUAACAAUACUGUCCCUUCUUGGAGGUUACAUUUUGAUUGGAGCAGUUUAUAGAUAUUAUUUCCUUGGCAUUCAUUCUGUAGAGGCCAUUCCAAACCUGGAAUUUUGGAUUGGUUUGCCGCAACGAAUUAAGACCAUGUUUGUUCCUGCAACAAGAAGCCGCGUAAGUUAUAGCAGAGAUGCUCUAGGUGCAUAUACCCCAGGAAACCAUUGAAAAGGUGGCAUCCUAGAAAGUUUAUGGGCAGCAAUACAGUUAACACUCAUUUAUGUACUCAACAGCAGGACAAAUCUUUGAUCUUGCCAAGACACCAGGUAUGCAAGUGGGACUUAUAUUGUGAAAUGGAUGAACUAUUUGUGUGGUGUGUGCCCUGGAGCAACAGUUCUGCUGAAAUGUUAUCACUUUGAGCAUGUACCUCGAGGUUGAUUUAUGCUUUCAAAAUCGCCCAUGUCAUCCCUCUGGUACAUCAUUGCAAAUGCUGUAGAGAAAAUCGCUGCACCUUUAGAUGGCUGCGAUAGUAUGUUUAUCUAGAUGCACAAGUUAUUGUGCAAAUGACUUGUUGGAUUGGAACCAUGAAAAUGGAUGGUAGUCUUGUAAUGAUUUUUUCUUAGCUUGCUGCUUCAGAACCUUUUGCACAAAGAUGACCUUACAAUCUGCAUCAUACAAUCUCUCUGUCCAAAGGAACUUGUAGGGUUAUGAUACACAACUGUAAGUUUUUGACAGUUUUCAGCAACUGGAUGCUUGUUCUCUGGACAUGGGCAACAGAUAGGAUAAGAUUGAGACCUCCAAUUGCGGGUUGUUACUUUGUUCUCGGAAGCCACAAGUAUUUUGGCAUUGGCCUCAACUUUCUGUGGAUAAAAAUUAGCUAGAAAUACCUUCAUGGAAGGUAGAUGAAUCUCUUGUGAAAACGUGGUGAAAGUAAUGUGAUGCGAUUUUAUCGUGAGCAGGCAAAUGAAUUAUUAUGUGGAAUCUUUUAAAAUUUUAUAUUGACGUUUCUACUCUGGUAUGAUAUUUGUUCA